CCUACGGGAGGCAGCAGUGAGGAAUAUUGGUCAAUGGACGAGAGUCUGAACCAGCCAAGUAGCGUGAAGGAUGACUGCCCUAUGGGUUGUAAACUUCUUUUAUAUGGGAAUAAAAUGUUCCACGUGUGGGAUUUUGUAUGUACCAUAUGAAUAAGGAUCGGCUAACUCCGUGCCAGCAGCCGCGGUAAUACGGAGGAUCCGAGCGUUAUCCGGAUUUAUUGGGUUUAAAGGGAGCGUAGGUGGAUUGUUAAGUCAGUUGUGAAAGUUUGGGGAUCAACCGUAAAAUUGCAGUUGUAACUGGCAGUCAUAAGUACAGUAGAGGUGGGCGGAACUCGUGGUGUAGCGGUGAAAUGCUUAGAUAUCACGAAGAAGUCCGAUUGCGAAGGCAGUUCACUGGAAUGCAACUGACACUGAGGCUCGAAAUUGUGGGUAUCAAACAGGAGUAGAUACCCGGGUAGUC
rnacentral:rRNA from 1 species